GUACUUUGACUGUGCAAAGGUAGCAUAAUCACUUGUCUUUUAAUUGGGGGCUGGAAUGAAGGAGGCGACGAAAUUUAGGCUAUUAGUCUGUAUCAUAAAAUUAACAUAAAGGUUAAAAGGCCUUCAUAAAUCAAAGGGACGAGAAGACCCUAUAAAACUUUACUAUAAAUUAAAUUAUUUAGGUAAAUUUACACAUAUAUAGUUUAGCUGGGGCGGUUUAUAUAAAAACAAUUGUAAAAGAAAUAUAUUGAAUAAGAUUAGAGAACUUUAAAAGGAAAUAAACAAGUUACUUUAGGGAUAACAGCAUAAUUCUCCCAGAGAGUCCUAAUUGGCGGGAGAGCUUAUGACCUCGAUGUUGAAUUGGGGUGUCUAAUGUAAGUAGAAAUAUAUUAAGAUAGUCUGUUCGACUAUUAAAUCCCC
rnacentral:rRNA from 1 species